GGGCAAGAGAGUUGUGUUGGAAGGCAAUUUUUUUUUCAUGUUCAAUUGGGGGCUAACCUGAUUAGCAUUGUUGUAUGAAGUUGUGAAAAUAUGCCUAUGACCCUAGCAAGUGGGUCGUUAAAUAAUGUUGCUUUUUCGCUUAACAAUUUUUAUAUUUAUAUCAUUUAAAAGAAUGAUGCCUUUUAUGUGGAGAUCUUUGACAAUUUUUUUUUUU
rnacentral:misc_RNA from 1 species